rnacentral:rRNA from 1 species
GGGUGCGAGCGUAUUCGGAUUAUUGGGCGUAAAGAGCUCGUAGGCGGUUCGACAAGUCGGGUGUUAAACCCCCAGGCUCAACCUGGGGCCGCCACCCGAAACUGUUGUGACUAGAGUUUGGUANGGGAUCACGGAAUUCCUGGUGUAGCGGUGGAAUGCGCAGAUAUCAGGAGGAACACCAGUAGCGAAGGCGGUGAUCUGGGCCAAUACUGACGCUGAGGAGCGAAAGCGUGGGGAGCGAACAGGAUUAGAUACCCUGGUAGUCCACGCCGUAAACGGUGGGCACUAGGUGUGGGGACUUUUCAACGGUUUCCGCGCCGCAGCUAACGCAUUAAGUGCCCCGCCUGGGGAGUACGGUCGCAAGACUAAAACUCAAAGAAAUUGACGGGGGCCCGCACAAGCAGCGGAGCAUGUGGCUUAAUUCGAUGCAACGCGAAAAACCUUACCUAGAUUUGACAUGCUGGGAAAAGCCACAGAGAUGUGGUGUCCUUCGGGGCCCAGCACAGGUGGUGCAUGGCUGUCGUCAGCUCGUGUCGUGAGAUGUUGGGUUAAGUCCCGCAACGAGCGCAACCCUUGUUCUAUGUUGCCAGCACGUAAUGGUGGGGACUCGUAGAAGACUGCCGGGGUCAACUCGGAGGAAGGUGGGGACGACGUCAAGUCAUCAUGCCCCUUACGUCUAGGGCUGCACACAUGCUACAAUGGGCGGUACAGAGGGCUGCUAAACCGCGAGGUGGAGCCAAUCCCUAAAACCGCUCUCAGUUCAGAUUGCAGGCUGCAACUCGCCUGCAUGAAGUUGGAGUUGC